rnacentral:rRNA from 1 species
GAUGAACGCUGGCGGCGUGCUUAACACAUGCAAGUCGAACGAUGAAGCCCAGCUUGCUGGGUGGAUUAGUGGCGAACGGGUGAGUAACACGUGAGUAACCUGCCCUUGACUCUGGGAUAAGCCUGGGAAACUGGGUCUAAUACUGGAUAUGACUUCUCAUCGCAUGGUGGGGGGUGGAAAGAUUUAUUGGUCUUGGAUGGACUCGCGGCCUAUCAGCUUGUUGGUGAGGUAAUGGCUCACCAAGGCGACGACGGGUAGCCGGCCUGAGAGGGUGACCGGCCACACUGGGACUGAGACACGGCCCAGACUCCUGCGGGAGGCAGCAGUGGGGAAUAUUGCACAAUGGGCGCAAGCCUGAUGCAGCGACGCCGCGUGAGGGAUGACGGCCUUCGGGUUGUAAACCUCUUUCAGUAGGGAAGGAGCGAGAGUGACGGUACCUGCAGAAGAAGCGCCGGCUAACUACGUG